rnacentral:rRNA from 1 species
CGGUGAAUACGUUCCCGGGUCUUGUACACACCGCCCGUCACAUCACGAAAGUCGGUGGCACCUGAAGUAUCGUUUUUUUACGGUCCCAAGGUGAAAUCGAUGAUUGGGGUG